rnacentral:lncRNA from 10 species
GAUAUCUGUGCUUUAACAAGCCCUCUAGAAGAUUCUGAUGCACUCCCAGCUUGAGAACUCUACUUGCUCUAAUGCGAUUGCCUGUUUACUGUUGGGAUCCCACACCAGAUGUAAGCACCAGGAGGCAGGGCCGCAUCUGUUCCAUUCAACACUGUAUCUGCCAAGCCCACAUGGGUCCAAAAGAUUCCUUUCCAUGAUGCAUCCCAGCCUUACAGAAGAAAUGCAUGUUAGAUCCUUCUAUCAUCCUGAGAAUUUGGACAUGUGAAAAUAAGCAAGAAACCCAGAACCAAAUGUAUAGAUUUGGAAGCUGUUGAUCUGAGAAGAAUCUGAGCCUGAAAGUGUUAUUCUCACUGGCUCUGGCCUGGACCAAGAGAAUGCAGAAAUGGCUUCCAUUCUGUGAGCUGUGACUUCUAACGUGGCCACAUAGCUGGUGGAGAGGUGACAACCUUCAUCUCCAAGGAUCCCCUGCACUGCUUGCUUUAUGCCCAGAGCAACCUCAUGCUGACAAGGACUGCACAGUUUUGAACACCCAUGCUCCAAUCAAAAGAAACCAAUUUGUGAGAGACGAUAUAAAUCCAUGAAUACUGCACUGAAACCUCUUUCUGCUCCAGGCAGAGAAGAUAAAUUACCACCCGAGUGAUAUAAAGUUAGUUUGAAUAUUUCAUUGGAUCAAAUGCAACAUGUCUCAGAACCUCUCCUCUUUUAAGUCAGAAUUAAAGAAUUGUUAUCAGGCAUAAUAAUAGACACUAUCAUUUGCAUACAUUUUAUCUCAAGAGACUUUUGAAGUUAUGCAAUACGCCAGUGGUUAAUUGUUCUUCACACUCCUGACAUAUCAAAUUACAGCUCAGAUGAGAGAGCAACCCAUUUGUGACUGGAAUGAUUGGCAGGAGCCUACAAGGAGAGCAUCUUCGAGGACUGAAGGAGGAGUAUCUUUUCAGGCUUUUCCAUGGAGACCUUGGAGACCAUGGGUUCUAGAUGGUUCUGUUAUAACAUGAUGGAGACUUCAUUAGUCUGGGUUCCUAGACGAGUGUGAAACACUUUCCCCACUGAUUGAAUUACAAUUAUAAUGUGAAAGAAAAAUAAAUCUUUAUUGUGUAAAACUACUGAAAUAUCAGAGUUACAAUACUGUAGUGUAGCAAAUUCUGGCAAAUACUUCCCAGCAUAUUUUCAAUUCCAUUUCAUUGGCCAAGCCUAGAUGAUAUGGUCACCUAUAGCUGAAGGAAGGCUGGGAAAGAUGGAAGAGGAUUGCUUAUUUGGCUUAAA